rnacentral:rRNA from 1 species
CCUACGGGUGGCAGCAGUGAGGAAUAUUGGUCAAUGGGCGUAAGCCUGAACCAGCCAAGUCGCGUGAGGGAUGAAGGUUCUAUGGAUCGUAAACCUCUUUUAUAAGGGAAUAAAGUGUGGGACGUGUCCUAUUUUGUAUGUACCUUAUGAAUAAGGAUCGGGUAACUCCUUGCCAGCAGCCGCGGUAAUACGGCGGAUUCGAGCGUUAUCCGGGUUUAUUUGGUUUAAAGGGUGCGUAGGCGGCCUUUGAAGUCAGCGGUGAAAGUCUGUGGACCAACCCUAGAAUUGCCGUUGAAACUGGGGGGCUUGAGUAUGUGAGAGGUAGGCGGAAUGCGUGGGGUAGCGGUGAAAUGCUUAGAUAUCACGCAGAACCCCGAUUGCGAAGGCAGCUUACCAAGCCAUAACUGACGCUGAGGCACGAAAGCGUGGGGAUCAAACAGGAUUAGAUACCCGAGUAGUC